AAAGUCAAGCGCCAUGCCGCGGGCCUGGAGUUGAACACCACGCUGUCCACAUACAAAGAAGAAGCGGCGAGCGGGUGCGUUUGAUUCCAACGCCGUUGGAGCGAGGAGCGCCGAACACGGCGAGCGCUUUAUUCACACGCCGACGUGAGCGAGGAAUGAAUGGCGCGUAGGCACACACGGGCGCAGGCUGCUCUGCAAGGAGGAAAAUAAAAAAAACCAGGCCUUAUCAGCGACCGGGCCGAGCGCUACGCGAGGACGGAGCUGAAUCGGCAAAGAUUAGGCGCCGCCGCCGUUGGCUGGCUGGCUGGAGUUGCGGCGUGUAAGGGGCUUACCACGCACCUUCCAUGAGUUCAGCAAACUCGGAGCAAAGAAAGUAAAGUGGAGCCAGCGAGCGCAUGGAUGGAUGGAUGGAUGGAUGGAUGGAAGGCGUUUGUUUGCGCACCUGCGCACGCGGCGUCGGCCUCGUUCCGCCUCCUACGGAAAAAGGCGAUGAAAAGCGGCGGCGGCGGCGACAACGGUGACACAUUUCUUGAAGGUAAGGCACUUUGUCAAGCGCUUAGCGCAUUAUGAUGCAAAUGAUAAGAGGCGAGCGCUCCUCCACUU